CCCCUGUUCCAAAUAAGGUCCCAUUGUGAGGUACUGAGAGUUAGGACUUCAACACAUGAUUUUUGAGGGAGCGCAGUGAGAUCCACAACACAGUCACGCUGUGUGCCUUUCUGCAUGAUUUCUGUGUCCAGGACCUUGGCUUUCUCCUGCUUUCCUCUUCCUUAUAUCACACAGUUCUGGUUCCAAACUAGUAUUUAGUAAACCCACACCCACAGGUCACCUAUGGCAGUGCUCCGUAUUCUGAGCACAGCUGACUUCCCACCUUACAGUUCAGGCCCUGUGCUCUGGGAAGAAAGGAAGUUUGCUGUCUUAGGAACAUCCCAGACGAUAAGGAGCUAAGAGAACAACUUGUCUGAAGGACCCUUUGAUGACCCACUCAUCCUUCCUACACUCACGCUGUCUUUGCUUGUGUCUCCUUACUCACCGACUUUUCCUCUUAGCAAAUUCCUUCAGACAAAGAGUCUCCUACCUCCUUAAGCCCAGCCCGCCCCAAGAGAGGAUCUCGCAGGCAGGCCAUGCAUAGAGAUGAUCAGCAUGGGCACCGCAGAGCAAGGUUAAUGAAGAGAAGUUUUAAUUCUAUGGCCAUCUCCACACCCCCUCUCCAUUUAUAUUUUCAACAUAUGGCUGGCUUUUUAAUGUCGCUUUAAUGUUUUCUCUUGUAUUUAAUUAUUUAAAGAUUUAAUAAGAAACUGCUGAGAAUCAAUUGCACACAAGGGACACAUUUCUUUGAAUUUUUGUUCUUUUUUCUCUGCUUUUGCAUAAGAGUUAAUUUAAGUCAUUGGAAACUAAAAACACAAAGCUAAAAGGGGGAAAGAAGAGAACAACGUAAAGGCAUUCAGAAAAGGAUAUCUGUAGGUGAAAUCAAACCCCCAACGGCAUGUGAUGUGUAUCUCUUAUCAGCACUAGGCAGUGGCGAUAACCAAGGAACCCAAAACAAAUCACUUUCAUUCCAUUCGUGUCUAAUAAUAGAAAGUCAGUAGCUUAUAUGUCAAAAAUUUUCUUUUUAAAAUAAAUUCCUUUUGGGGUUGGUUCUGUGUGUUGGGGGCAAGGAAAUGGAAGGAUAUUCACCACUACAGGGGUCUAGUUUUAUUGACAGAGAAAGGGAAUUUUUAUAUCACUUUCAGAAUUUUAAAUGGUUUGUUGCUGAAUAUUUUAGGAUCUCCUUUCCACAUUUAUAACUAUUAUCUGAAUGAACUAAUCCAGUUAAGAAGGCAUUCAUUCAUUAACAUAUUCUGCUUAUGUGUUCUGAAUGACCAACUUUGCCAGACAAUAUGCCAGGUAUGAAGGAUCCAACCAGAAGAAAUGCCAACUCGACCCCUGCUUUCAUAGCCACUCACACCCACCCUUGGGGAGCAGAGUCACAAAGGACAGUUAUCGUGCGUGUGCUCUGAUGUGGGAAGGACAGGAUACUACAGAAGCCAAGGGAAAGGCACUCAAUCCAGAUUGGAAGGAAAGGGAAAUGCUUCCUGGAAGAAGACAUGGCUAUCACGAGACCUGAAAAAUGAAUAGGAACACAAAUGAUGAAGUGUGACCUCUGUUAUGUUCAUUUUGUCAAACUCUGUCAUAAACCUGAAAAUCAGCAUCAACAUGAUCUUCAUCAUCUUCAAACAGCACAUGGUAACAAGGAGUUGAUAUGGUCUGUGAUUUGCUGCAGGACAGCAUCCACAACAAACUGCGAACCACAGCACGGUGUAACAGAGUAGCCUCAAAUUUCCAUCAAAGGAAUGAGUUGUCUGAGGAAGCAAUGUGUUCCUCAUCCUUUAAGAGACUGAGGCAGCAAGGAGAAUGUUGGGGAAAGGAACUUUGGGCUGAAUUGAAGGACCACACGGAGGCGACAUUUCCAGCCACCUGGCAUUGAGACACAGUCUUGUCCUGGAAUGUGCACAUCACCACUUUCUUUAAAGACCACAAAACCCUCCCAUUUUUGAUUUUUCCCUUUCUCUCCCCAUCCGCUGGCUGAAUGUGGAGAAUUCUGAGGUCCUAAAAGGGGAUGAGGCUGGAAGAUGGCAGGCAUCUGGAUCUCAAAAGAUCACGCACAUGCUAACAAGGAGCACCCACAUUGAACCAUUAGAUAAAUAAGAAGUUCCGCCUUUGAAAGACAUUCUUCAAAAAGCUCCACAUAUGACAAAGUGGAACACAGUCCCAAGAAAUGAGAUCCUUUCUCUACCGAGCUGGGAAGUUGUCUCCUGGGUGUUCCACAGCUAUUGUGCUCAGGUCACUCUAAAAGGCUAUCUAUCCUGGAGGAAGGUAGCACUGUAAAAGAGGAGAAAAAGUAAAAUAUAGUAGCCAUGAGAGUAACAAGCAAACACUCCCCCAAUGGACAAUGAAUGUGACAUUUCUCCUGGUCUGUAUGAUCAGCAUGAAUCAAUUGUGCUUUUGAAGACACGGCCCUAAUCCAUACAUGUUAACUUGAGGAUUUACCUUUCCUCACAACGGUAUAGACAACCUAAACCAUCUGGACUUGGAUGUGAAAUUGACGUGAUCAUACAAACAUAUUUCUGAGAAAGAGUUCAUAAGUUUCAUCAGAUUCACAAAGGGAUCUUCCACCCCAUCAUGAUCCUAUUACUCCCACCAGAAUACAGGUACCCACUGUUUUAGUCCUGUUGGAAGUUGCAUGUCACUCUCUCCAUAAAGGAAACAUGAGCAGUUAAUAGAAAAACC
ensembl:lncRNA